AGUUUCAAAAACAAUAUAUAGAUCAUGUCAGCUCGAUAAAAUACAGCGUAUACGGCCAUUUUAGAGGCCAUGUUUACGUUUUGAAAAAGAACCGCGGAAAAAUUGUAUUUUUGCAUGUAGUUUUUUUCCUAGGUGUGAAACAUCCCCUAAAAAAUCGUACAAACUGAAAUCAAGUCAUAAUAUAUCAGAAAUUUUUUAAAAGAAGACAGACUUUUUCAUCAAAACAUAUUUUUUUAGCCUUGAAUUUCAACAUGUCAGCUCGACAAACUGCCGAGGAUGCGGCCAUGUUUACGUUUUGAAAAAGAACCGCGGAAAAAUUGUAUUUUUUGCAUGUAGUUUUUUUCCUAGGUGUGAAACAUCCCCUAAAAAAUUGUACAAACUGAAAUCGAGUCAUAAUAUAUCAUAAAUUUAUCAAAAGAAGACAGACUUUUUCGUCGAAACAUAUUUUUUUAGCCUUAAAUUUCAGCAUGUCAGCUCAGUCUAUUUCAUGUGUAGAUUUGGCAUGCACAUGUCAAAAACAAGGCCAAAAAAAUGUUUAAAAAUUAAAAAAGCCCAUUCUCAUUUGGUGAUUUUCAGAAAACUAGGUACUUAAAUUAUACAAAAACAUAAAAAUAAAACUAGUUUUCAUAUAUUGUGCAUGAAAUAUUUAAAAGUUAAAAAUUUUCCGUGCUUGUAAAACUGCGACAACAAACUAUCGCUUGCUUGUAUUUCAUGUGUAGAUUUGGCAUGCACAUGUCAAAAACAAGGCCAAAAAAAUGUUUAAAAAUUAAAAAAGCCCAUUCUCAUUUGGUGAUUUUCAGAAAACUAGGUACUUAAAUUAUACAAAAACAUCAAAAUAAAACUAGUUUUCAUAUAUUGUGCAUGAAAUAUUUAAAAGUUAAAAAGUUUCCGCGCUUGUAAAACUGCGACAACAAACUAUCGCUUGAAAAAAAAAACUUGCUGUUUUUUUCAAUUUAUGGCGCUUCAUCUGGUG